rnacentral:rRNA from 1 species
GGGCAGCGGGGUUGUAGCAAUACAACUGCCGGCGACCGGCGCACGGGUGAGUAACACGUAUGUAACCUGCCCUCUGCAGGGGGAUAAGCGGAAGAAAUUCCGUCUAAUACCGCAUAAUACAAUUUGGAGACAUCUCCGGGUUGUCAAAGGAGUGAUCCGGCAGAGGAUGGACAUGCGGCGCAUUAGCUAGUCGGCGGGGUAACGGCCCACCGAGGCUACGAUGCGUAGGGGUUCUGAGAGGAAGGUCCCCCACACUGGUACUGAGACACGGACCAGACUCCUACGGGAGGCAGCAGUGAGGAAUAUUGGUCAAUGGGCGGAAGCCUGAACCAGCCAAGUCGCGUGAGGGAAGACGGUCCUAUGGAUUGUAAACCUCUUUUGCAGGGGAGCAAGGCGCGGUACGUGUACCGCGAAGGAGAAAAAAAUGUGUUUUAGCAUCGGCUAAGGGGGUGAAAACAGCCGCGGUAAUACGGAGGAUGCGAGCGUUAUCCGGAUUUAUUGGGUUUAAAGGGUGCACAGGCGGACUGUUAAGUCAGCGGUAAAAUGUCGGUGCUCAACACCGGCCGGCCGUUGAAACUGGCAGCCUUGAGUGAGCGAGAAGUAUGCGGAAUGCGUGGUGUAGCGGUGAAAU